rnacentral:rRNA from 1 species
CAACCUGAGAGUUUGAUUCUGGCUCAGAACGAACGCUGGCGGCAGGCUUAACACAUGCAAGUCGAACGCCCCGCAAGGGGAGUGGCAGACGGGUGAGUAACACGUGGGAACGUGCCCAAAGGUACGGAACAACUCCGGGAAA